AUUUUUAAUUGACAUAGACCCAGUCCUCUAGUAAAAUGAAGAUGAUGCAUCGGGA
rnacentral:tRNA from 1 species